CGGACGGGUGAGUAACGCGUGAGUAACCUGCCUUACACAAGGGGAUAGCCGUUGGAAACGACGAAUAAUACCCUAUGACAUAAACUCUUCGCAUGAGGAGCUUAUCAAAGAUUUAUCGGUGUAAGAUGGACUCGCGUCUGAUUAGCUAGUUGGUGAGGUAACGGCCCACCAAGGCGACGAUCAGUAGCCGGCUUGAGAGAGUGUACGGCCACAUUGGGACUGAGACACGGCCCAGACUCCUACGGGAGGCAGCAGAU
rnacentral:rRNA from 1 species